CCAACUAUGAUUUCGAUCCAUUCAGAAUAUGGGAAAUCGGCGUGAAUUCGGAAGCAAGACAGGAUUUAUUACAGUUUGACAUGCUGGAUGCUGAAGAUAUUUAUGUGAAAAAGAGAGACGUGAAUUACAAUGACUUUCUCAUUCCUGUCAAACAAAUUGAGGGUGUGCAUAAUCUACAGGACGAUCAGCAAGAAACCCCCACCUUGCAGAACUUACCACGCGUCCGUCACUUUCAUAAUUUUAGAUAAAUCAUAAAAUCUAAGGAAACUAAGUUACCGUUACCAAAUUAAUUUGUAAUUAUUUACAAAUAAAAAUUUGCCAAUUUUACUUCAA